CUUCUGCCGAGGGCCCUUCGGAAAGAGGCGGAGCCUACCUCGCAUCAGGACCAGUCGGACUGCACCUGCAUCCUUAGCUCAGAGCAUCCCUGGAGCAUCUAAGAGGAAAGCGCAGCUAGCAACCAGGGAUCGGACUGUCGCAGGGGCAGUCUGCCAGGCACCUUCCCCUCCCCUGAUCUGGAGGUCUACGGCCGCGGCCUCGGUACUGACCGAGAUUCCCGAAGUUGUCUGACCUCUGCAAAAGUGUUGCUAUCAGCAGCCUCUGAUUACAACAUGGCUGAGAUCACAAAUAUACGCCCCAGCUUUGGACACACACAUGCUAAGUGUGCAGAGGUCAGAGGGCGUGCAGGAGGAGUUGUCUUCCACCAUGUGGGAGCGGCAUCCAGGGAACACUGUGUGCUCCGCAAGACCCUGGACCCUGUAUUUGAUGAGACCUUCACCUUCUACGGCAUCCCAUACAGCCAGCUACAGGACCUGGUGCUACAUUUCCUCGUGCUCAGCUUUGAUCGCUUCUCUAGGGAUGACGUCAUUGGGGAGGUCAUGGUGCCGCUGGCUGGAGUGGACCCCAGCACGGGCAGGGUUCAGCUGAUCAGGGACAUCUUCAAGAGGAACAUCCAGGAGAGAAGUUAACAGAGAAACCAUAAGCAGUCGAGCUGCUGCUGUGGUACAGUGACCUAAGUCUGUUGGAUCUUCUGAGACUGAAGGCCGAAGACUGACACUGCCCUGAUACCUUUGCCCCCAGUGAAAUCAAGAUCCCCACGGAGGACCCCAGGGUGAUUGUCCGGGUGGCAGACCUCCUUAGGCUGUGAUUCUGAACAAGGGACACCAAAGAAUCAUCCAGUAAUAACUCUGGCUCCUUCCCAAAGACCCAGUGGGGUCAGUCAAGAGUCAAAUCCUGCCGUGUAGACUCGAUCCCACUCUUCCGUCACGACAUCUCUAACACUCUGACGUGCCACCGCAUGCACUGUUCGUCUUCAGAGUCCCAGCUGCACAAACCCAGCAGUGGGUCACAGAACAGCUUGGGGUAAACGUAUCAGGAACACCAAGCAGCAUAUCUUUCUUGCCCUUGAACAGCUUGGCCACAUUCACCUUCUUCCCAGACUCCCCUUCAAACACCUCCACUGAGGGGAUACCAUCUCCCUCCUUAGUUGGGGCCAUGGCCAUGACAGCACUGCUGAGGCUGUGGGCUCAGCCACAUGCCACACUGCUGCUUAGUAGCCUGCUCUGCCUGUCAUGGAGCAGGAACAUGGAGCAGUAACAUGGAGCAGUCCCACGGAGCAGUAACAUGGAGCAGUCCCUUGGAGCAGUUAACAUGGAGCAGUCCCAUGGAGCAGUAACAUGGAGCAGUCCCAUGGAGCAGUAACAUGGAGCAGUCCCUUGGAGAGGUAACAUGGAGCAGUCCCAUGGAGCAGUAACAUGGAGCAGUCCCAUGGAGCAGUAACAUGGAGCAGUCCCAUGGAGCAGUCCCAUGAAGCAGUAACAUGGAGCAGUCCCAUGGAGCAGUAACAUGGAGCAGUCCCUUGGAGCAGUAACAUGGAGCAGUCCUAUGGAGCAGUAACAUGGAGCAGUACUAUGGAGCAGUCCCAUGGAGCAGUAACAUGGAGCAGUCCUAUGGAGCAGUCCCAUGGAGCAGUCCCAUGGAGCAGUAACAUGGAGCAGUCCCAUGGAGCAGUAACAUGGAGCAGUAACAUGGAGCAGUCCUAUGGAGCAGUCCCAUGGAGCACUGAGCUGGCUCUGCAGCUCAGGACAUGUAGCUCCACCUUCACAGCCACCCUUCUACCCACUCCACCUCCUAGCCCACUCCUCAAUCAAUUUUUUUUUUUUUUGACUUUUCGAGACAGGGUUUCUCUGUAGCUUUGGAGCCUGUCUUGGACUAGCUCUGUAAACCAGGCUGGCCUCGAACUGACAGAGAUCCACCUGCCUCUGCCUCCCGAGUGCUGGGAUUACAGGCGUGCGCCACCACUGCCCGGCCUCAAUCAAUUUUUAAAUCGGGACUGUCAUAAGCUCCAGGGACCAGUGUCUCUGUGCACACCAGAGCUGGGUUUACAGGCACACACCAGCAGACAGACUUUUAUAUGGGUUCCAGGAUAUGAACUCAGUUCCUCAUGCUUGUAUGCAAACUCAAAACCAACAAAGCUAUCCCAGCAAAGCAGUCCCAGAAUUCUCUUUUUUAAGACUUUUCUUUUCAUGUAUAUGUGUGUGUGUGUAUGCGUGUGUGUGUGUGUGUGAGUGUGUGUGUGUGUGUGUGUGUGUGUGAUGGGGAUGUGGUGAGGUAUCCAAGAAGGUCAGAUGAGGGUAUUAGAUCCUCUGAAACUAAAAUCAUUGGUGGUUAUGAACCACUGGACGUGGGUGCUGGCAAUGAACUUGGAUCCUCUGGAAAAGCAGCAGGUGCUCUUAAAUACUAAGUCAUCUCUCCAGUUUCCCCACACACACACAUUAUCUUUAAACAGGCUGAUUUUCCUGCCAUUCCCUUUGGAACCAACCACUCCAGUCUCUCUUUGGAAUGUAAACUCUGCUGGACUAAACAAACCUCUGCUUCCACUGAAAAAUAACCUAAAAAAAGAGAUAAUUUCAAGAAAAAAAUGUCUCUAUGAUCAGAGUGUCCAAAUGAUAGUUUGCAAUGACAGCCCCUAGGAAUAGUAUGUAGAUAAUAAGCGUUUAAUACAUGUGGAUAAUUGAGAGUUCACUGCUCAGAAUUUCCUGGCCAUUGUACUCCUUGGUGGCUCUGACACAGGCAGACCAUUCUGCUGGAGAGAAAAUACCUAAGAGCAAAGGACAGAGCUUACUAAAGAAUUUCACCAAGCCACUCACUCAAAAAUCAUU